rnacentral:rRNA from 1 species
ACGAACGCUGGCGGCAUGCCUAACCCAUGCCAGUCGAACGAGACCUUCGGGUCUAGUGGCGCACGGGUGCGUAACGCGUGGGAACCUGCCCUUAGGUUCGGAAUAACUCCCCGCAAGGGGUGCUAAUACCGGAUAAUGUCUUCGGGCCAAAGAUUUAUCGCCUUUGGAUGGGCCCGCGUUGGAUUAGCUAGUUGGUAGGGUAAAAGCCUACCAAGGCGACGAUCCAUAGCUGGUCUGAGAGGAUGAUCAGCCACACUGGGACUGAGACACGGCCCAGACUCCUACGGGAGGCAGCAGUGGGGAAUAUUGGACAAUGGGCGAAAGCCUGAUCCAGCAAUGCCGCGUGAGUGAUGAAGGCCUUAGGGUUGUAAAGCUCUUUUACCCGGGAUGAUAAUGACAGUACCGGGAGAAUAAGCUCCGGCUAACUCCGUG